GAUGAACGCUGGCGGCGUGCCUAAUACAUGCAAGUCGAGCGAACAGACGAGGAGCUUGCUCCUCUGACGUUAGCGGCGGACGGGUGAGUAACACGUGGAUAACCUACCUAUAAGACUGGGAUAACUUCGGGAAACCGGAGCUAAUACCGGAUAAUAUAUUGAACCGCAUGGUCAAUAGUGAAAGACGGUUUUGCUGUCACUUAUAGAUGGAUCCGCGCCGCAUUAGCUAGUUGGUAAGGUAACGGCUUACCAAGGCGACGAUGCGUAGCCGACCUGAGAGGGUGAUCGGCCACACUGGAACUGAGACACGGUCCAGACUCCUACGGGAGGCAGCAGUAGGGAAUCUUCCGCAAUGGGCGAAAGCCUGACGGAGCAACGCCGCGUGAGUGAUGAAGGUCUUCGGAUCGUAAAACUCUGUUAUUAGGGAAGAACAAAUGUGUAAGUAACUAUGCACGUCUUGACGGUACCUAAUCAGAAAGCCACGGCUAACUACGUG
rnacentral:rRNA from 1 species